rnacentral:lncRNA from 1 species
AAGGAAAAGGAAGGCGAAAGGUGGCUGCAUUUACCUCCUCCAUGUUCCAGGAUCUUAUAAACCACGAUAAACCACUGGGCAGUCAAUUCAUAAAUUAACUAUUCUGACCAGGAAAUUCUAAUUUCCAUUCACUCGGCUCUCAUGACUAGGAAAAAGCAAACAUUUAUAUACAAACACUUCCCCACCCUGGAACCUGUAAUUACACAUCAGAGUCAAGAGAACAGUAAGACAAGAGAUGAAUGUAGACGGCUAGCAUGCUAAUGACUUAGAACAAAAUCAUGGCAAUGAGGGCUAAAGAAAGAAACUGGCACACUGGGGGGAUAUCUAGAGGGGCAGCCGCUUUAACGCAUUAGCAGACCCUGUUUCCCCAAAGACAGCUACAACAGGAUAGCCUACCCUACAAGCUCCUCUACAGUGUGCCCUGCCACUGUCCCCUCAACACAAACUAUCUCAGGGCACCCUCUUAAGUCUGGGCUGGCUGAGGGGCUCACUGUAGCCAAAUAUAUAUACACUGUGAACUAUAUAUAUUACGGCUUUCCAAGGCUAAGCUAGACGUGCAUCUGUGACUUGUCUGUGUUGGAUGAACUUGCAGAUGCCAGCUAGAGAACACAGUGAGACCGGUCUGCUACAGAGAUCACCAGCUUGUUCCAGUCAAUCAGCUGAGCUCCCACCUAACAAGGACGCCUAACAAGGUCACUACAGCCAAAGGACCUUGACUACAACCAAGGGAGCCCUGGAGUCCCUUGAAUUCAGCCUUCGCAGUCCUGAGUAACCAGAGGCCGCUCGCCAUCCCACUCCCCGAGGCUUUGGUUGACUGUGAUCCAACAGCAGGGCAGAGGUGAAGACAGGAGGGCUCAGCUACUUUUCCAGCUGCUUUUGUUUGGCUGUUGUUGUUGUUGUUGUUUGCUUGGUUGAUUGUUUUGUUUUGUUCAAUUGAAUCACGGUUUUGCCACAGACCCCAGGAUGGCUUGAAACUCACUUUAUAGUCCACAUCAGCACUGAAUGCUGAGCGAGCCUCCUGCCUCAGCCUCCUGGGUGUGAGGACUAAACGUGGAGAUUAUGCUCAGGAUUUUUAUCAGUUUUAAGUACUGUUUGAGAACCAAGUGCUGGCAGGAAAAAAGAAAUCUGAAAUUCUAAGUUUUGUGUUCAAAACAGAUAGCCAUAAUUAUAACAGAAGAGUCUGCUUACACAGUCUAGGAGUACAUACAGACUUAAAGAAUAAACACUGCUGAAAAACGAGAGGCUGAAAGAAAAAGGCAGGAAAGAAAAUCAAUAUAUGUAAAGCUCUUAAACUUCUACAAAGCUAAAGAAGGCAAAAUGGCUGUACCGAGCUAUUUUCCCUCUUUCUGGCAGAAGGCAAAGCUUAAUUGUUUUCAAAAUGGUGGUGGACUGGAGCCUCUCCGUUGUGUACUGUCUAGUUUAAGUUAUGGCUUCCACUGCAAUAAAUUCCUCCAUAUUUUGUGUAGUAAUAAUGUACCUUUUGUCCCAGAGUAUCAGUACCUCUCAGGUGAUUAUGACAAGCUCCUUUUCUUUGGGUUCUCUAAUUGGCUGAAUAUGAAUUGGAUCAUGUUGACACGUGCCUUGGGAUACCAUCCAAUAAACGAGAAAAAAAGUC